rnacentral:lncRNA from 1 species
AGACUAUGAAUAUUUGAAUAUUACAUUUGUCUUUAUUAAUAUUUGCAUUUUAGAUAGCAGAAUAUUUUUCAUGGGUGUAUCAUAAUUUUUAAAAUACUCUCGUGUACAAAUUGUUCAUUAUGUAAUCUCAAUAAUGAUUUGAUCAGUAUCUUAAAAGAUAAUCACAUCUACCAGGUGUGGUGGUGCAUACCUGUAAUCCCAGCACUCUGGGAGGCUAAGGCAGGAGGAUCGCAAGUUGGAGCCUAGUUUGGGCAAUUCAGUGACUUAUCGAGACCCUGUCUCAAUUUAAAAAGAGCAGAGGAAUGUAGGGAUGUAGCUCAAUGCAAACUCUGAGUUCAAUUCCUAGUAUUCCCCCUCAAAAAAAACCAAAACCCCAGAAAAAACCUUGGGUACAUCAAUUUCCAGAGACAUUUUUUAAGAAGUGAAAUUGAUAGAGAAAAGGUAUAUAAGCUUUUGAGAAUCUUGGUAUAUAUCACUCAUUUCAGAGAUUGUGUCCACUUCUGUUCCCUUUAGCAAUCUACCAAUCAUCCAGGAUGUAAAAUUACUAAGAUAUUUGCAAGUUAAUUACAGAAAAAGCUUAGUGAAGGUUUUUUUUUUUAAUGUUUAUAUUCCAUUUCAUUCUUUUGAGAAUUGCUUAUUCAUAUGUAUUUGUCCUGUUACUGUUUUGGAGAGCUUGCCCUUUUCCUUGGUUUAAAUUCUUUAUAAAUUAAGAACAUCCAUCCUUUGUUGUAUAACAUUUUAAUGUGUUAGUUGCCUUUUUGUACAGCUUACAAUAUUUCCGCAUAGUUUUCUCUAGAAGUGUACCUUUACAUGUGUGCUUGAACGUAUUUGUCUUAACCCAGGUAUGGAUAAAUACACUAGUUUUGGUUUUGGGUUUUUGUUUUCUUUUUUCCUUUUUACAGUUGUCUUUAAUUCAGUAGGAAUUUUAUUUUGUUUAUACACAUAACUCAUUUAAUCUACAUAACUGAAAUGAAAAGGAAAUUUUGAUCAAUCUCAAGUUUAUUUGGAGAUACUAUGUGAGAUGAGGAUGUACGGCUAAUCUUUGCAAAGAGUUUAUCAAUUGCUUCGGUAUUGUAAGCCACUAUUUUCCUUUGUAAUGCUAUAUUUAUAGAAUAUUAAAUUUUUGUGUCUUUUACAUCUUUGGUCUAUUUGUGGGCCUUCUGACUUUUUCCAUGUUAACCAUUCUGGCUUAUUGGUGUUACAUUUGGGAGAAUGAAUCCCCCGUUUUUCUUGGAAAUUUUGUGAAAUAUAGCCCACAGAAAAAUAUCUAAAACAAAUGUUCUGUUUAAUGGAUAAACCAACAGCUAAGCACACCCUGAGGCAGAGAAGCUGCUGCUGGCACUCCAGAAUCUCCUUGUGUCCCCUGGUGAUAGCUACCAGCACCCUCUGUAUCCACGGGGUACUACUGUCCUGACUUUGUAGUAAGUCUCCCCUCCAUUCUUUAAAACAAAUUUUUAUUUUACCAGUUACUAUGUGACCAUAUGGCUUGUUUUGCCCACUUUUGCCUCCUAUAAAGGUUGAAUCAUUCUGUA